GCGAGUGAAGCGGCAACAGCUCGAAUUUGAAAUCUGGCCUCGGCCCGAGUUGUAAUCUGUAGAGGAUGCUUUUGGCGCGGUGCCUUCCGAGUGCCCUGGAACGGGACGCCACAGAGGGUGAGAGCCCCGUAUGGUCGGACACCAAGCCUGUGUAAAGCUCCUUCGACGAGUCGGGUAGCUUGGGAAUGCUGCUCUAAGUGGGAGGUAAACUUCUUCUAAAGCUAAAUACUGGCCAGAGACCGAUAGCGCACAAGUAGAGUGAUCGAAAGAUGAAAAGCACUUUGAAAAGAGGGUCAAAUAGUACGUGAAAUUGUUGAAAGGGAAGCGCUCAUGACCAGACUUGCGCCGGGCUGAUCAUCCAGUGGUCUCCACUGGUGCACUCUGCCCGGCUCAGGCCAGCGUCGGCUGUCACGGGGGGACAAAAGCACUGGGAAAGUAGCUCUCUCCGGGGAGUGUUAUAGCCCUAUGCAGAAUACCCCCGCGGCGGCCGAGGUCCGCGCUCUGCAA
rnacentral:rRNA from 1 species